UACGUAGGGGGCAAGCGUUGUCCGGAUUUAUUGGGCGUAAAGAGCGUGCAGGCGGCCAGGUAGGUCCGUUGUGAAAACUCGAGGCUCAACCUCGAGACGUCGGCGGAAACCCUCUGGCUAGAGUCCGGAAGAGGAGAGUGGAAUUCCUGGUGUAGCGGUGAAAUGCGCAGAUAUCAGGAAGAACACCCGUGGCGAAGGCGGCUCUCUGGGACGGUACUGACGCUGAGACGCGAAAGCGUGGGGAGCAAACAGG
rnacentral:rRNA from 1 species